UUCAAGUGAUUAAAAUGGAGUAGUAACUUAACUGUAUUUCUUAAGAGAGCUAGUGGUGGUGCGAACUAGUGAAAACAUUAAGUGAACUUGCCAAUGUAAUUAAAUAAUAAUUAACAUCUCUAACUAUUUUUAAUGAAGUGCACGUUUAGCGUGAAUAAGGGUGGUACCGCGGCAUGAGUCGUCCCUUAC
rnacentral:ncRNA from 1 species